rnacentral:rRNA from 1 species
CCAGAGGUUACUGCUAUCGAGGUUCGACUAAGCCAUGCGAGUCGAAUGUAGCAAUACAUGGCGAACUGCUCAGUAACACGUGGACAACCUGCCCUUAGGUUGGGUAUAAACCCGGGAAACUGGGUAUAAUACCCGAUAGGUCUCGAUUGCUGGAAUGCAUCGAGAUUUAAAGCUCCGGCGCCUAAGGAUGGGUCUGCGGCCUAUCAGGUAGUAGUGGGUGUAGCGUACCUACUAGCCUACGACGGGUACGGGUUGUGAGAGCAAGAGCCCGGAGAUGGAUUCUGAGACACGAAUCCAGGCCCUACGGGGUGCAGCAGGCGCGAAAACUUUACAAUGCUGGCAACAGCGAUAAGGGAACCUCGAGUGCCAGGUUACAAAUCUGGCUGUCGAGAUGCCUAAAAAGCAUUUCAUAGCAAGGGCCGGGCAAGACCGGUGCCAGCCGCCGCGGUAACACCGGCGGCUCGAGUGGUAACCGUUAUUAUUGGGUCUAAAGGGUCUGUAGCCGGCCGGAUAAGUCUCUUGAGAAAUCUGGCAGCUUAACUGUCAGGCUUUCAGGAGAUACUGUCUGGCUCGAGGCCGGGAGAGGUGAGAGGUACUUCAGGGGUAGGGGUGAAAUCUUGUAAUCCUUGAAGGACCACCAGUGGCGAAGGCGUCUCACCAGAACGGACCUGACGGCAAGGGACGAAAGCUAGGGGCACGAACCGGAUUAGAUACCCGGGUAGUCCCAGCCGUAAACGAUGCGCGUUAGGUGUAUCGGUGACCACGAGUCACCGAGGUGCCGAAGGGAAACCGUGAAACGUGCCGCCUGGGAAGUACGGUCGCAAGGCUGAAACUUAAAGGAAUUGGC